rnacentral:rRNA from 1 species
GAUGAACGCUGGCGGCGUGCCUAAUACAUGCAAGUCGAGCGAACGGACGAGAAUCUUGCUUCUCUGAUGUUUGCGGCGCACGUGUGUGUAACAUGUGUAACACCUACUUAUAAGACUGGUAUAAUUUCGGGAAACGGGCUCUUACACCGUAUAAUAUUCUGAUCCGUAUGGUUAAUAAGUAAAAGACGGCCGUGCUGUCACUAAUAGAUGCAUCGCGGCUUCAUUAGGUAGUUGGUAAGUUACGGGCUUACCACGGCAACGAUGCAUAGCCGACCUGUGAGGGUGGUCGCCCACACUGGAACUGAGACACGGUCAUGACUCCUACGGGAGGCAGCAGAAGGGAAUCUUCCGCAGUGGGCGAAAGCCUGACGGAGCAACGCGGCGUGAGUGAUAAAGGUCUUCGGAUCGUAAAGCUCUGUUAUGGGGGGAAAGCAUAUGUGUAAGUAAAUGUGCGCAUCUUGACGGUACCUGAUCAGAAAGCCACGGCUAACUACGUG